rnacentral:lncRNA from 1 species
GCUCUACGCCUAUAGAGUAUAACAAAUGGAUGUACUUUCGUUUUCGUUCAUCUGUUGUAAGCUACUGUUUUUCUUGUCUGAAUCCUCUUUUGCUUCCGACACCAUUACUUCAUCUCAGUCCCUCAGCGAUGGCAGGACCUUAGUUUCAAAAGAUGGAAGCUUUGAGCUUGGUUUCUUCAGUCCUGGUAGUUCCAAGAAUCGUUACGUGGGAAUUUGGUACAAAAAUAUGCCAGUUAAAACUGUUGUUUGGGUUGCAAACCGAAUCAACCCCAUUAAUGACUCUUCUGGGUUGUUAGUUGUAAACGAGACGGGCAAUCUUGUUUUAACCAGCCAGAACAAGAGUGUAGUUUGGUCAGCAAACUUGAGCAAAGAAGUCCGGACUCCAGUUAUAUUCCAGCUACUAGAUUCAGGAAAUCUUGUCCUCAGAGGGGAACGAGAUGGCGAUUCUGAAACUUAUUUAUGGCAAAGCUUUGAUUAUCCUUCUGAUACAUUGCUACCGGGAAUGAAGCUCGGAUGGGAUUUGAAGACUGGUCUUGAGCGGCGUAUAACAUCAUGGAAGAGCUCAGACGACCCGUCUCCUGGAGACUUUACUUGGGCACUUGAACGACAAGAUAACCCUGAGUCAAUCUUCUGGAAGGGAUCAAGAAAGUUAACUAGGAGUGGCCCAUGGAAUGGCCUUAGAUUCAGUGCUUCAUCAUUAAGGCAAAACCCCGUUUUUAACUUCAGCUUUGUCUCAAAUGAGGAUGAGCUGUACUACACCUUCGACUUGAUAGAUAAAGCUGUUUUCUCAAGGAUGGUUAUGAACCAAACACUCUACUUACGUCAACGAUUCAUAUGGAAUAAAGCAACUAAAAGUUGGGACUUGAAUUCAAAUGUGCCGAGAGAUCUAUGUGACACUUAUGCCCUUUGUGGUGCCUAUGGCAUUUGCAUCAUUAGCGAUAUGCCUGUUUGCCAAUGUUUAAAAGGCUUUAAACCAAAGUCAAGGGGAUAUGUGGACUGGUCUCAAGGGUGUGUGCGUGAUAAGUCGUUAAACUACUCUAGACAAGAUGGCUUCAUCAAAUUCACUGCGAUGAAAUUGCCAGAUGCUACUCUUUCUUGGGUGAGCAAAAGUAUGAAUCUCAAUGAAUGCCGGGAGAAAUGCUUAGACAACUCUUCUUGUAUGGCAUACACAAAUUCAGAUAUCAGAGGAGAAGGCAGUGGCUGUGCCAUGUGGUUUGGUGAACUGAUUGACAUGAGAGACUUUCCAGAUGGUGGGCAGGACUUGUAUAUUCGAAUGUCUGCUUCGGAGAUAGGUACCCGCAAACUUGUUUAUGUCACUCCAUUAUGAGAACUUAGGAGUACCACUCCAGUUAGACUAGUUGCACAUUUUUAUUGUGCAAUUUAGUAUUGAGUUCUGAUUGAGAAGCUCCUUUCGCAUAAAGCAGUUUCUGGGUAUAGCUUCUAUGCAUAGAAUUUUGCUGCUAUUUGAAUCAUUUGAUUAUUGACUUGCUUUGCUAUAUCUGAAUACGGCGAUCAAGGAGCGAAAGGUGAGCCUAGGACGAAGAUAGUGGUGAUAGUCAUUUCUACUGCUGCUCUGUCAGCUGUGGUGAUUGCAGGUGGCUACUUGGUUCACAAAAGAAGGAGAAAUAUAGUAGGUAUAAUAUUGCUCCAUUUUCCUUCACAAAUUCUCGCUAACGAUUUGAUGCAGGCAAAUCAAACUCUUAUAAAUAUUAAAUUUAUAAGAGUAGAUUAAAUUUUUAUAUGCAGCAAUAACUGUAUAUUUGUUUCAAGAUGAAGAGUUAUCAGUGCAUAUCAUUUAGAUCAGGGGCAAGGUAAUUAAAGUUGUAAAUUUUUCGUUUUGAUAGCAUGCUUACUUAUUUGCAUUUAGUGUUAUAUUAAUACACGCCUCUUUUUCACCUAUGGUUCUUUAUUUACUUGCACUUUCAUACUGACUGGAAAAUAUCUUUAAUACAAAUUUACAGAUAAAGAACUUCUCAUCCAGAACAUGAAAAUUGUAGUUACUAGUUAGGAGUUUAAUAUUGUCCAGUAUACGCAUAUGUGCUUUCAGUUAAUAUUAUCCAAUAUUUCAGAGAAAACAGAAAACAACAGGGAAACUGAUCAGGUUCAAAACAUGGACCUGGAGCUACCACUGUUUGAGUUAGCUACAAUUGCUAAUGCCACCAAUAACUUUUCAAUCAACAACAAGCUUGGAGAAGGUGGCUUUGGACCUGUUUACAAGGUAAACUUGAAACUUGCCAGUCAAAAAUAAUUAUUUUACCGGGUAACUAAAUUCACAUAUAUGUCUGGGCAGGGCACGCUAGUGGAUGGGCAGGAAAUUGCUGUGAAGAGGCUUUCGAAGAUUUCUGAGCAAGGAUUGAAGGAGUUAAAGAAUGAAGUUAUACUAUUUUCCAAAUUACAGCAUAGAAAUCUUGUAAAGCUUCUUGGCUGCUGCAUUCAGGGAGAGGAGAAACUGUUGAUUUAUGAAUUCGUGCCGAACAAAAGCCUGGACUCUUUCAUUUUUGGUCUGGGUCCCUAUAACCUUAAAAUAUUCAGCUAGCUUGUGCCUUGAUUAUAGACGUUUCUUAUGUAUUUUCAGAAAAUUUUGUACUAACCUUAAUGUGGUAAUUUGUAGAUCAAGAAAGAUGUAAGAUAUUGGAUUGGUCCAAGCGUUUCCACAUUAUUUGUGGGACUGCUAGGGGCCUUCUGUACCUUCAUCAAGAUUCUAGAUUGAGGAUUAUACAUCGAGAUCUCAAAGCAAGUAAUGUGCUACUCGAUCAAGAUAUGAACCCAAAAAUUUCAGAUUUUGGUUUGGCAAGAGCUUUUGGUGGAGACGAAACAGAAGGAAAUACAAACAGAGUGAUUGGAACAUAGUAAGUACUUCUUGUCAUGUGAUCUUUACGAUUCACUUGUACUGAUUAAUGAAAAUUAACUUAUAUAUUUUAAUCUUUUGAAGUGGUUAUAUGGCACCGGAAUACGCUAGUGAUGGGCAAUUCUCAGUAAAAUCCGAUGUCUUCAGCUUUGGAAUUUUAUUGUUGGAGAUAAUAAGUGGAAAGAAAAAUAGAGGAUUUUAUCAUUCCGACAACAAGCUUAACCUUAUAGGACAUGUAAGUAAAAUGCAUAUGACAUUUUCUAACAUAGUUUGAACUAAUAAACUAUAGAUGAUAAAAGAGUUUUAAUAUGUUGUAGGCAUGGAAGUUGUGGAACGAAGGCAUGCCUUCACAAUUAAUCGAUCCGUGUGUUCAAGACUCAUUCAAUCUUGCUGAAGUGAUACGAUGCAUCCACAUCGGUUUGUUAUGCGUGCAACAGCAUCCAAAGGACAGGCCAAGCAUGCCCUCAGUGAUUUUGAUGUUGGGCAGCGAGACUGUGUUGCCUCAGCCAAAGCAACCCGGUUACUUGGCGGACUGGAAAUCUAUCAGACAAGAUUAUUCAUCAAGCACGCCUGAAUCAUGUUCAACUAAUACAAUUACGAUCUCUGAGUUGGAGGGUCGGUAGAGAAUUUAUUUGUGGUAUCAUGCUUUAUUCUACAUUGUCAAGUGCAAAAGCCGUAAUAUGUCAACCAAAUGGAAAGUUGGCUAAGCCUAUUUUUGGUAAAAAAAAAAAAAUAGAAUGUAAACUAAUGUUCAUAUAGAAAUUGUAAAUUAGAGGUGCUGUGAGCAGUGUUGGGUCCAAAAAAAUGAUUAACCGAGAAUUAAAUUAAAUAAAAGCAAGACAUUAUAAUUGUUUAGAUAUAAAAUAUUUGCUAAUACAUUUAUGGGAAUAUCUUUGGUGCUUUUGGAGCAUUUUUAUCUAUUCACAAUUUAUUACUUGUGUAUAUAUGUCAUCAUGAUUAGUAGAAACAUACACGUGACAAAGAGUAAAUGAAAAAGGAGAAGCUCUCCAAGAGUACCCAAGAUUUUUUCUACAUUUUGAAAACCAUGUGCAAUAUAUUCAUUAUCAAUACUAUUAAGUACAUCAUUUUCUACAUAAACAAUAAAAUUAACAUUCAUCCAUUCAUCUCUCAUCCAAUUUCAGCGUUGACUCUUCAUGAACUUAAUUGCUGAAAACGUUCUCUCUACUGUGACUGUGGGAACCGAAAAAAUUGUAGUUAAGUGUCACCAACGAAUAUAUUAAUACUGUAAUGGAUACUCUUUAUCUUUUUUAGUCUCAAACUAUUCUUUUAGCAACUUAUUGAUUCCCUUCAUUCCUGCAAACCCACCUAAUUAUUCUUUCCUAAUUUAACCCAAGCCCUAAUUUUCUUUUCUUUUUAGAACAGGAAAGAUAAAAUUUGUGAUUGGAGGAGUGGCUAAUUAUUAUUUUUAAUAAAUUUGAAUCUAUUUUUUGAAAUAGAAAAAUGUUUUGGGUUGUGAGUUAUUAUUAUUUUUAAAUAAAGUGUGAGUUUAAAAGUUCAAGUUAAAAUUUAAAUUUUGUAGGUUUAUGAAUGUAUAGAGGCUAUUUUAAUAGAUUGAUGAAGGUUAAUUAGAAACGCAAAAGAUUUUUUCUUUUAUUUAUUUUUUUUGUCUUUCACAUGCUAAAUCCACCACUCCUGCCAAUAAGAAUUGGGAUGAUUUAUUUUUAUCCUAAUGCUCAUAAUAAAAAUCUUUUAAAUUUUUUAUUAUUUUAUUAAAAUUCUUAUUUAAAAAUUAUAUUUAUCCCAACUUUUUUUUUGUAACUACAAUAUUUUUUUUCACCACGACUUUAACUUUUAAUAUAACUUGGGUUAUCAAAAUUUUGAGCUUCAUUCAACCAACCAUAACUAUCAUGAUCAAAGUCUACGUUGCUUAAGUCAAGAAAGACUUUAAUGGGAGGGAGAUAAUUAUUAUUAUCGACAUUACAAAUGGACCCCAAUUAUAAUGCUACACAUUUUAAAUUUUUUAUCUCAAAAAGUUAUCUCAAAUGAUGUGUCAUUUAUCAAUUGGUCGGUGAGAUAAUACAAUUAAUUCACUUGAAUCUUGUAAAGAAUUAUCAAUCACUCAAUUAAUGACACAUUAUUUGAGAUAAUUUUUUUAAAUAAAAAAAUUGGGAUGUGCAGUACUAUUGUUAUAUCAAAAGUCUUUGGGCUCGUGUCCCGUUCUCUUUUUUUUCAAAAUCCUAUUUACUAACCAUUAAUUCGGUUGGUUGGUUGAAUCCGGCGGUUGAUGAAUUCGGUUGGUUGAUGAAUCCAGCGGUUUCUGAUUUUCUUAUUUAUUUUUAUGCGAGUGACCCCGUAACGAUAGCAUCGCAAUCUCAUGAAAAAAAAUUUCCAAACGCAUGAAAAUUGGACACCCGUCAACAAAAAUCUUUUUGUUACAAUAUUUACUGUACUUUCAAAAUUUUGAACAUGACAAAAAUUAAGUAAUCUACUUAUUAUAAUAAUCUACGAUAAAAAAUAUUGAACAUGUUGUUGAUGCUAAAAUCUACUCGCCCUUUGUCCGACCAUAUUCUUUCACCAACGUUUAUGUGAUUGAUAGAUAAAACGUCACCUCUUUCCUGUCUCAACGAUUGUUUGAAUCCUUGGGACUGGAAUUACUCUUUUUUUUCUCUCUCCAAGUUUGCGUUCACAAAAACGGAUCAGAGACGCCGGUGAUUUUACCGGCGUAAACCCUCCGAUACUUAAGUUAGCACAAGGUGUUUUAUAGGAAAAUGUUUACGGAAAAACUAUAUAAUUUAGAUUAUGUGAUUUUUCGUAAUGUGCUCAAGAACUUGUAUAGAAAAUAAUCUGAUUUCAAUUUGGCAAAGUUUUCCCUUUACUCUCAAUUUUUCUUCUCCUUUUUCAUCGGUUUUCCGACUUUUAAUAGUCGUUGCUCCACGUUUCUGCGCACUCUUCCUGCCCCCCUUUUUUUUGGGUGUUGGCAGACCCUCAUGGGUCUCCAACCACUAGACUGUGGGUAAACGUGGGAUGCCAUAUUUCUCUCAACGGUUCGGGACGUAGCGGAACUGUCGAGACUUUGUGAGAUCGUGUGCCCUUUCUUUGGGUGAUGGGUAUCUGGUCGGUAUACGUCUCUGGUCGGUACAUCUCUCUGGUUGGUAUGUUUCUCUGGUUGGCACAUGUUUGUAUAAGACGUUUUACCAGGACUGUUCUCGUGCCAUUCAGCUGAGGAGAUUCGCCCCGAGGUGGGAGAUGAGGGCAUGGCUGAGCUGAUACUUUUUAUUACUUAACACAUUUUUUUUUGUAAUUAUACACGCACAUCACUCUUUCACAAUUAAUUGACUAAACAUGUAUGAUAAACGAUUUUAUAAUGGAUUGUCUCAUAAUCUAAAUUUAUCAAAUAUCUUAAUGGUGAGACUAUUUGAAUUGAAUCCAUAAAAUUCUUUUAAAAUUUUCUUUACAACUUAUAACAUACUUUUCAGAAAGUCUGUCGAGUACUAAUUUAGAAAUUUAUUUCAAUAUAUAUUAAGAAAAAUUAUUUGGUUAAGAGGAACGAGCCCCUUUGAAAAAUUGAGUUGGUGGAGCAUGAGCUCAUCAUUAGGCAACCCAUCAAAUUAUUCAAUAAACACAUUUGCCCCACACAUCCAUAAUUAAUUAAAAGAACGGAAUUUUUAGAACUUAUUAAAUUCCUCUUAACAUCCAUUUAUUUAAUAUAUCCCCUAUCAAAAUCUUAAAAUUAAAUUUUAACUCUAUAAACUUCUUAAUACCCCACAAAUAACCGUUUUAUGGUUGGUGCAAUAAUUUAGAUAAUUAAAUUAUUUAUUAUUUUGGUAAUUUUUAUUUAAGAUUAUUUUUGUAAUAUAAAAUUUUAUUUAAAAAUAGGUCUAAGGUGCAUUUUUAUGGGGGGCCAAAUGACAUUAAAAUUAGAAGAAUUAAAUUUUACCAUAUAAAAGUAAAACCUCUUGUAAUUCCUAAAGUAUCCUUGAUUAGAUUUUUUUUUUAAUUUUAAUAUUUACUCUCUGCUCCGAAGUUGCUGUAUCCUUUCUUGGUAAGAUGGUCUGUUCAGGCUUCAAUGUUGUUGGCUUGAAUUGGCAACUGAACUCGAUUCAAUUCUCAUGCAUGGGUUGGGGAAUUUGCUCAACUUAUAAUUGGUAGGUUUAUGCCUUUGGGAUCAAACUCAUUUCGCCUCUCCAAGAAUCUGCAAAAUUAAUUGUUAUUAUCAUGUCGGAGCUGCUUAUAAUUGGUAGUGUCUGCAUUGCUUUGAAUUCAGGCAUUGCUUGAGUAGAGUUGGGCUUGCUGAUUCAUUUUAGUGACAAAUGAAAACAUUAAAAAAAAAAUCAGGACUUGUUCGUCCAAAAUUUACAGAUAUUUUGUUCUUUAAUUAAUUUUAUUGUAACAAACGAUAGGAUAGCAGUGUAGUUUAACCAGUUGCUUACACCUUGGCAACGUAGGUUCGUGUUUUUUUUUUUUUUUUUUUUUUUUUUUAAGUCAAAUUUCUUGCAAAUUUUCUAUGGGUGUGAUGUUUUUUUUUUUUUUUGAGUGCAAACGGCUCACCCUUCACAUAUUUAUAGAGAUGUUGAAUUUUCAGCUACAAUUAACAGUUGUUCUACGUUCCCGGUGUUCCACAUUUUACAAUAUUAAAUAGAGAAUUUUGAGUCCAGAAGCAAUCGCUUUCAGGUCAGUGCCCUCCAAGAUGGAUUAUCAGUCAUGGUGUUUAAUUAUAUUUAUUUAAUUUGUUAGAGAGAGCUCUACGCCUAUAGAGUAUAACAAAUGGAUGUACUUUCGUUUUCGUUCAUCUGUUGUAAGCUACUGUUUUUCUUGUCUGAAUCCUCUUUUGCUUCCGACACCAUUACUUCAUCUCAGUCCCUCAGCGAUGGCAGGACCUUAGUUUCAAAAGAUGGAAGCUUUGAGCUUGGUUUCUUCAGUCCUGGUAGUUCCAAGAAUCGUUACGUGGGAAUUUGGUACAAAAAUAUGCCAGUUAAAACUGUUGUUUGGGUUGCAAACCGAAUCAACCCCAUUAAUGACUC